AGGAUAUGGAAAACAAAAUCAGAAGUACACUGAAUGAGAUUUAUUUUGGAAAAACAAAGGACAUCGUUAAUGGGCUGAGAUCUAUUGAUGCUAUCCCCGACAACCAAAAGUAUAAGCAGUUGCAGAGGGAGCUUUCUCAAGUGUUGACCCAGCGCCAGAUCUACAUCCAGCCUGAUAACUAAACCAACCCAGGUCUGUGCAGACUUUUGCAGACAAAUCAAAACAAGAAGCUCUUAAAAACGACCUGGUGGAGGCUUUGAAGAGAAAGCAGCAAAGUUAAAAUACUCUUCAUGCUAACAAGACAUGCCAUGCACUCGUUAGAUUCCUUUCUUAGAAAACUCAUCCCCCCCUGCCCUUUUCUGUUGUCACGUCACGAUUUGCAUUCAGUACUAUCCAUGCAACGCCAUCUUCUCCCCAUGAAUAAAGCUGUACAAACUUUUUCAGUCUCUGAGGCCUACUUUGCACCACAUUUUACUAUCGAGACCUUAGGCUACGUUUCUGUAGAAGUCCAUGUAUUUUUUUUUUCCUUCCCCCCUCUCUUCCACCUUGCCCCAUUUAUAUGCAUAAACACGGAUCAUUCUUUGUCUUUUCCUCCCCACCCCCUCCUGCCUUUUGUUACAUUGGUGUAAAAAAUGUAAAACAAAAAUUUAUUAAAUACUGUGGUGUGUGAAAGAGGAAGAACUGGAAAAAAAAAAAAUCUAUUCCACGUAUGUUUGGGGGCUGGGCACAGGGGAUGGCCGGGGGGAGGGAGGGAAGAGAGGGUGUUCCUCGGUGUUGUACUAUACUGACUAAACCAGACUUGCAAGGAGACGUCGAUUAGGAGACCUGCUGAAAGUUCUGCUCUCUAUAGCCUGGUUCCAAGGCGCUUUUCUGUCAAUUUUUAUGGAACGCAAAAGGGGUUUUUGUUUUGAUUUUGUUUUUUUGUAAAGCUUAAAUUGAAUCUACAUCUGAUACUUGAGCCUCCAUACUAAAAAAAAAAAAAAAAGACUAAAAGAAAAAAAUAAAAAUAAAAAUAAAAAAUCCCAG